rnacentral:rRNA from 1 species
UGGCGGACGGGUGAGUAACGCGUGGGGAACCUGCCCUGUACAGGGGGAUAACACUUAGAAAUAGGUGCUAAUACCGCAUAAGCGCACAGUAUCGCAUGAUACAGUGUGAAAAACUCCGGUGGUACAGGGUGGACCCGCGUCUGAUUAGCUGGUUGGCGGGGUAACGGCCCACCAAGGCGACGAUCAGUAGCCGGCCUGAGAGGGUGAACGGCCACAUUGGGACUGAGACACGGCCCAAACUCCUACGGAAGGCAGCAG